rnacentral:lncRNA from 1 species
GUCUUUUGGGUUGUAACGGGGCUUUGAUUUAGGUGGGGUAUGAAAUUUGAACAAAGGUUUUUGGUUCAGAGUACAUGAACUCAUUCUCUCACUACGUUUCUUUCCUAUUAUUCCUGUAGGGUUUUGUAAUCCUCUUUUCCUUUUAUCUAUAAUGAAUGUAGCAUUUUUCAAAAGUUGUUCUUUUAUUGUUUUUCGCUUUUCUCUUUCUUUCUUUUGAUGUUGUUGUUGUUUUUCUUUU